CGAACGCUUGCGGCGUGCCUAACACAUGCAAGUCGAACGAGAAAAUCUUGCUUGCAAGAUGAGUAAAGUGGCGCACGGGUGAGUAACGCGUGGGUAAUCUACCUUUGGGACAGGGAUAACACUUCGAAAGGGGUGCUAAUACCUGAUACGAUGCGAAUUUCAUAAGGAGUUUGCAUGAAAGGUGACCUCUUCCUUGAAAGUUGCCGCUCGAAGAUGAGCCCGCGUCCCAUUAGCUUGUUGGUGGGGUAAUGGCCUACCAAGGCUCAGAUGGGUAGCUGGUCUGAGAGGAUGAUCAGCCACACUGGAACUGAGACACGGUCCAGACUCCUACGGGAGGCAGCAGUGGGGAAUAUUGCGCAAUGGGGGAAACCCUGACGCAGCAACGCCGCGUGAGUGAUGAAGGCCUUCGGGUCGUAAAGCUCUGUCAGGUGGGAAGAACAAGGAAAUCCCCAAUAAGGAUUCCCUUUGACGGUACCACCAGAGGAAGCACCGGCUAACUCC
rnacentral:rRNA from 1 species